rnacentral:lncRNA from 1 species
AUGCUAGUUGUUACAUCAAUAGUCAUAUUAGCAACCACCGUGCUAGUUGUUACAUCAAUAGUCAUAUUAGCAACCCGUGCUAGUUGUUACAUCAGUAGUCAUAUUAGCAACCCGUGCUAGUUGUUACAUCACUAGUCAUAUUAGCAACCUGUGCUAGUUUGUUACAUCAAUAGUCAUAUUACAACCUGUCCUAGUUGUUACAUC